CUCUGGACAGGUUUUGAUAAAUCUCCCCCAUUAUCUGCCAUCUUGUUACCCACGUAUUAUUACUUCCAGCCGUAAUAGUUUGAAACAACAGUAUCUAAUGUACAGGGAGCGAUGUGGGUUUACUAUAAACUCAAAAAUGUGGACAGAAUCUGAUGGUUGUAAACCAUAUAAAUAAACAACAUCAGGGGACCACAUGGAGGUACAGUGACACAGCCUGGAGGUGGCAGCAGCAAGAGGAGGCCAUAUAGUGGCUGAAUGACACAGCCUGGAGUUGGCGGCAGCAAGAGGAGACCAUAUAGUGGCAGAAUGACACAGCCUGGAAGUGGCGGAAGCAUGAGGAGACCAUAUAGUGGCUGAAUGACAAAGCCUGGAGUUGGCGGCAGCAAGAGGAGACAAUAUAGUGACUGAAUGAGACAGCCUGGAGCUGGCACCAGCAUAAGUUAGAACAUAUGGUGGCAGAAUGAGACAGCCUGGAGCUGGCAUCAGUAUGAGGAGGUGGCAGUAUGAGACAGCCUGGAGUUGGCAUCAGCAUGAGGAGAACAUAUGGUGGCAGUAUGAGACAGCCUGGAGCUGGCAUCAGCAUGAGGAGAACAUAUGGUGGCAGAAUGACACAGCCUGGAGAUGGCAUCAGCAUGAGGAGAACACAUGGUGGCAGAAUGACACAGCCUGGAGCUGGCAUCAGCAGCGUCAAGAGUCCUGAAAGUGACCCGGUGACAGAGUGGGGCGGUGGAUGGCAAUACAAGUACCCAGUGAUGAAGGUGGGUGAAAAAAGGAAAACUUGGCGUCAGAUGUGUGGCAUGAGGUGCACGGUUUGGACAAUCUAGAGGAUUUCAUCUUAUUGCCUGCCGUCAGCCAUGCUUUCUCGUCAACAGUGGUAUUUUCGUAUCAGUGAAAAUUCAACAAAAACUUCAAAGUACUCUGCCAGAAGACGAUUUCACCAAAGAAACCAAAAUACCAGCCCUAGUCCAUGGUGGGAGAUGAAAGUUUAUGAAGACCCAAAAGAUCAAAACUGCAGAAGUUUGCAAAAAAUAAAAAUAAAAAAA